rnacentral:rRNA from 1 species
AGCGAACGCUGGCGGCAGGCUUAACACAUGCAAGUCGAGCGCAUCACUUCGGUGGUGAGUGGCAGACGGGUGAGUAACACGUGGGAACGUACCCUUCGAUCUGGGAUAACUUCGGGAAACUGGAGCUAAUACCGGAUACGCCCUUUUGGGGAAAGGUUUACUGUCGAAGGAUCGGCCCGCGUCUGAUUAGCUAGUUGGUGGGGUAACGGCCUACCAAGGCGACGAUCAGUAGCUGGUCUGAGAGGAUGAUCAGCCACACUGGGACUGAGACACGGCCCAGACUCCUACGGGAGGCAGCGGUGGGGAAUAUUGGACAAUGGGCGCAAGCCUGAUCCAGCCAUGCCGCGUGAGUGAUGAAGGCCUUAGGGUUGUAAAGCUCUUUUGUCCGGGACGAUAAUGACGGUACCGGAAGAGUAAGCCCCGGCUAACUUCGUG